ensembl:snRNA U7 U7 small nuclear RNA
UAGUGUUACAGCCUUUUUAGAAUUUGUUUAGCACGUUUCCUGUUUUCACUGGAAGACUCCC